UUGCUAAGCCUUGUAUAUUUAUUUUAAUUGUACAAGAUUUUUGAGAUAAAUCUUGACUGACCAUCUGUUCAAUAUAGAAUCUGGACCAAACUUAGGUUUAACUCAGACUUUUUUCUGAUAUUCUAUUAUUUUUGUGCGCUCCAUAUUACCAUUGACUUCUCAGAAGUGUCUAUAGUCUUUUUAAAUAGAUUAAAUGAUGCUAGCCAAUGCCAAUUUAGUUCAUCUGAGUUAUUUUUCAGCAGACCAUUUAUUGUACAUGGAUUGCGCAGCUUGAUCAAAAGAGUGAUUCGGAUCAAAAACUGCCUCCCAUACUUUUCAGCCAUCCUUGCAGAGGAGUUCCGCAGUCUUCGUUCAAGCCUGAAGUGGUCUCGUGCACUGAGGUUGAUGUAAAAGAAGGUUUGCGUCAUACACCCUGAGACUACAUCCACUGUCAACAGUGUCAGCAUCUGGAGGAUUUUCAUUUUUUUGCCUCCUCGGUCUUCGGAGAUGGUGGCACCAGGGUGGCGGAGUCAUUUUGUCCCUUUAUACCGCUGACAGAGAGUCCGUACCCAUCUGAUCCAUCAUGACAGAUAUUUUUCUUCAUGAUGCAGCAUCUGCCGAGGGAGAGAGCCUGAUACUCAGACGAGCACAGCAUAAAUAUAAAUCAAGAUCCAGGACUCAAGUUUCACACACAAUUAGAGGUAUGUAUAACGUUCAUAAAAAACACAAAUUUGCCUAAUUCUGAGGUGAGUAAAAUUAUGAGUAUAGGAAUGAGAGUACCAAUGCACCGGAUGUUGACAUCAGAGAAGUGUUAAUACAAGAUUGAGCCGCGCAGAAAAAGGUAUGGCUAAGGUGAUUGGCUGAAUUAAUUGCAGAAAUAAUGAUUAUUUCAAAGUAAAUUUAUCACUGUUUAAAAUGAAUGAUGGAUUGAAGAAGUACUGCAAAAAGUGAAGAAAUAAGAGGGGUUGAAAUAGGGGAUGGGUGUCAAUUUUGGGACUUGGAUUUAUUUGCUGCGGAUCGCUGUAAGUUGUAAACAAGCUCAAUUUUGACCUAUAAACGCCAUGGGACCCUAUGUAUUUCUAUUGAUUUUGUGUUAGUGCUUGGAAUGAACUUUCAAAUGUGACCAAGGAUAUGUCUGUAAGUAUAAUAGCAAACUAGCCAGGUGGGUUUAGGUUAACAUUGAGCCCUAUGGGAAAUGAAUUGGUACUCUUUUCCCUA